rnacentral:rRNA from 1 species
UGGUGGAGUGAUUUGUCUGGUUAAUUCCGUUAACGAACGAGACCUCGACCUGCUAAAUAGUCCAUGGAAUCCUUGGAUUCUAUGUACUUCUUAGAGGGACUAUCGGUGUGUAACCGAUGGAAGUUCGAGGCAAUAACA